rnacentral:rRNA from 1 species
UACAGGGGGUGCAAACGUUGCUCGGAAUCAUUGGGCGUAAAGCGCGCGUAGGCGGUUCUUCAAGUCAGGCGUGAAAGCCCCGGGCUUAACCCGGGAAUAGCGCUUGAUACUGUGGGACUUGAGUCCGGGAGAGGAUAGUGGAAUUCCCAGUGUAGAGGUGAAAUUCGUAGAUAUUGGGAAGAACACCAGUGGCGAAGGCGGCUAUCUGGACCGGUACUGACGCUGAGGCGCGAAAGCGUGGGGAGCAAACAGG